GAUGAACGCUGGCGGCGUGCCCAAUACAUGCAAGUCGAGCGAACAGAUGAGGAGCUUGCUCCUCUGACGUUAGCGGCGGACGGGUGAGUAACACGUGGAUAACCUACCUAUAAGACUGGGAUAACUUCGGGAAACCGGAGCUAAUACCGGAUAAUAUAUUGAACCGCAUGGUUCAAUAGUGAAAGACGGUUUUGCUGUCACUUAUAGAUGGAUCCGCGCCGCAUUAGCUAGUUGGUAAGGUAACGGCUUACCAAGGCGACGAUGCGUAGCCGACCUGAGAGGGUGAUCGGCCACACUGGAACUGAGACACGGUCCAGACUCCUACGGGAGGCAGCAGUAGGGAAUCUUCCGCAAUGGGCGAAAGCCUGACGGAGCAACGCCGCGUGAGUGAUGAAGGUCUUCGGAUCGUAAAACUCUGUUAUUAGGGAAGAACAAAUGUGUAAGUAACUAUGCACGUCUUGACGGUACCUAAUCAGAAAGCCACGGCUAACUACGUG
rnacentral:rRNA from 1 species